rnacentral:rRNA from 1 species
UCAGCUCAGGACGAACGCUGGCGGCGUGCCUAAUACAUGCAAGUCGAACGCUUCUUUUCCCACCGGAGCUUGCUCCACCGGGAAAAGAGGAGUGGCGAACGGGUGAGUAACACGUGGGUAACCUGCCCAUCAGAAGGGGAUAACACUUGGAAACAGGUGCUAAUACCGUAUAACAAUCGAAACCGCAUGGUUUCGUUUUGAAAGGCGCUUUACGGUGCCGCUGAUGGAUGGACCCGCGGUGCAUUAGCUAGUUGGUGAGGUAACGGCUCACCAAGGCCACGAUGCAUAGCCGACCUGAGAGGGUGAUCGGCCACAUUGGGACUGAGACACGGCCCAAACUCCUACGGGAGGCAGCAGUAGGGAAUCUUCGGCAAUGGACGAAAGUCUGACCGAGCAACGCCGCGUGAGUGAAGAAGGUUUUCGGAUCGUAAAACUCUGUUGUUAGAGAAGAACAAGGGUGAGAGUAACUGUUCACCCCUUGACGGUAUCUAACCAGAAAGCCACGGCUAACUACGUGCCAGCAGCCGCGGUAAUACGUAGGUGGCAAGCGUUGUCCGGAUUUAUUGGGCGUAAAGCGAGCGCAGGCGGUUUCUUAAGUCUGAUGUGAAAGCCCCCGGCUCAACCGGGGAGGGUCAUUGGAAACUGGGAGACUUGAGUGCAGAAGAGGAGAGUGGAAUUCCAUGUGUAGCGGUGAAAUGCGUAGAUAUAUGGAGGAACACCAGUGGCGAAGGCGGCUCUCUGGUCUGUAACUGACGCUGAGGCUCGAAAGCGUGGGGAGCAAACAGGAUUAGAUACCCUGGGUAGU